AUGUUGCAGUUCGCUUUGGCUGAUCAGACUGCGUUGCUGCAAGGUUGUCUGGCGCGUGUUGGGAGCUUUUUAGAGCGAGCGGAGGCUGCUCUGAGUAGACUCUCCCUUGCGCCGGCUAUGUUGCAGACCUCUCUGACGCCGCACUCUCCUUGUGCGGCCGGUGUUUGCUCCGCGGAGGAGAGGGGGGCGGAGUUAUAUGGCUCCUUCUCCCCUCGUGUUGGAGACAAUUCAUCCUCAAUGCCUACCUCCCAUCCUAUGUUGUCUUCCACUAAGGGCGAGUCCAUUGCCAUGCUUGUGGCUCCGGUACUGCAGGUCAUGCCCGAGCUUAGGGAGCUAUGUCUGAGUUUGUCAGUGGAUCAUAUGAAAGUGGACACGUCGACGACCUCGAGCGAGGGUCAAGAUUCACCUUUGUCAAGUGAGCAGCUGGAGGUUCCUAUGGUUGACGAUGCGAGAGGGAAGGCAUCCGUGAUGUCAUGA
rnacentral:rRNA from 1 species